UUUUAAGGCGUGUUUCUGUCAUGGUCCCUGUGUCUGCCCGGUCGGCCCAGUGAAGCUACAUGUAUUUGUGUUUGUUUUUGUUUCUCUCUCUCCCUCGCUUCCCUGCUCGCUGUGCUCUGUCUGAGCGGAGCUCAUCAUGGGCUGGUCCUCACACCUGCAAGCAAUUACUCCCCGGAGAUUCAUCAUCCUGUUUACCAGCCGCUUCUUAAGGCAGUAGCUGUGAGUCCUUCGUCGCUGGACUAUUGUGUACUAUUCAUUCUCUGUGUCCCUUCCUGAGACCCCGUUCAUGAGUGUGGCAGUUGCAGUGUGCAUGAAGGAAGGAUUUCCGUGUGGAGUGAGCUGACUGGAAGUGAGCGUGUGGAGCUGUGUGCGAGAGUGAGGACCCCGUUCCCCUGUCUUUCCCCGUGGACCUCAGGAUUCCCUGGACCGCCUCUCCCCACCUGUACAUAAUGCAAUUGGUGUCAUGUGAAUAAAUAACUGUUUAUUGUGA